GGACCCGACUGCUAUCGGAUUGAGAUUUAGCCACGCGAGUCGAACGUCCCCCUGUUGCGGGGGGCGUGGCGUACGGCUCAGUAACACGUAGUCAACCUGCCCUGGAGACACGGACAACCCCGGGAAACUGGGACUAAUCCGUGAUAGGUCACCUCAUCUGGAAGGAGAGAUGGCCCAAAGGGGCGCGCGGGCUUCUUCUGCGCGUUCGCUCCAGGAUGGGACUGCGACCGAUCAGGCUGUUGGCGGGGUAAAGGCCCACCAAACCUGUAACCGGUACGGGCCUUGAGAGAGGUGGCCCGGAGAUGGACACUGAGAAAAGGGUCCAGGUCCUACGGGGCGCAGCAGGCGCGAAACCUUCGCAAUGCGCGAAAGCGUGACGAGGUUAAUCCGAGUGAUUUCCGCUGAGGAGACCUUUUGUCGGCUGUAAAUAGGCCGGCGAAUAAGGGGAGGGCAAGCCUGGUGU
rnacentral:rRNA from 1 species